UGGGCUGGUCGAAAGACCCGGGUCAUCUUAUGGCGGUAAGACACCC
rnacentral:ncRNA from 1 species